UUCUGGUCCAAAAACCGCCUAAGUGCUCCGAUAACACCCAGGGACUCGCCUAUUUUUACAGCGCGUUUCUACUUCCAAGGUGGGGGGAAUCAGAUCCUGUUUGUAUGCUUAUGGAAUUAUCCAGAAGUAAAAGGGGUGAAUGAUGUAGAGGAGAAGGAAGGGAUAACUGUGCCAUCUUUGAAAAGGCAACUGGAAAUGGGAUCCAGAGUAAAGUGGAGAGAACCAGGGAAGAUUCCAUUAAACUGGACCAGAAGCUUGAAAGAAGAGAAGUGGCUUAGUAAACAAGGAACAAACUAG
rnacentral:lncRNA from 1 species